ensembl:lincRNA
GGGCGGAAUAAUAGUUCACGUUUUUAAACUGAAGGCAUAUUCUUAAUGAUUUUUCCGUGGUCAGGGAUUGAAAGCCCACAACUUAGUUACCCAUGUGGAGCAAAGCGAAAAAAAAAAAAGUUUUAUAUCAGGUUUCUCAGUUUAGGCACCGUUAUUAUUUUGGGUCAGCCUACCCUUUGUUGUGAGGUCCUGUGCAUUGUAGGAUGUUUAACCCCAUUUCUAUUUUCUAUCCAUUAGUUGCCAGAAGGAUCAACAUCCAGUCAUGACAACCAAAAAUAUCUCCAGUCAUUGCCUAAUGCCCCCUGGGGGGCAACAUCUCCCUGGAUUGAAAAUCACUGCUUUAUAUCAACCUUAAUUUUGCUUUUGAACUUUUUGCUCCAAACUCUGUAGACAGCACAGUGGAUAGAAAUGAAAAAUUCAACUGAUACCCCAUGGUUCUCCUACCACCAGAUGCUACUGAGGCUAAACUGACUGGACUGAGGAAAAAUAUCUGUGGGGAAAACUGUCUUUCAGAAUCCAACUUUGAACCAGAGAAAUCCAUUCUCUUGAAGCUGUCUGCUGUGGAGAAGUUGGCCUUACCAAUCUGCCUUUGAAGUUCAAGUUAUACAGGAUCUGCGAGGCUACCUGUGAAUGAAUGGUUGGUUGGUCACUACUUGCAAGUUUUUCAGGAGCUCCUGAAAGAUUACUGCAUAAAUAAGGGAGGAUGGAGACCAGACCUCUGGCUACUGUUGCUGCCACCACCACAGCCACCACUUUCACCCUUAUGAACCCCCUAUUUACUGAACACUUUCUAUAUGCCAGAGCCUGUGUCAUUGGUCUUAGCCUUCAGGUGAUUGGAUCAGAGAAUGUAAUCAACUGCUCAAACCUGGCUUUAGUCAAAUCUAGACAAAAUAAAUUACAGGAUAGAGACAUCAUCUUAGAUUACCUUUCAAAAAUUGACACUCAAGACAGAGGAGAUUAGAAUUUUAUCUACCAAAUUAGUUG